AAUAAGUGAAGUUGGUGAAAGACUUAAGGUACUCUCUCUCUCUCUCUCUCUCUCUCUCUCUGUGUUUGUGGUUGGUUGUUGGAUUGGGGCAAGCAGGUGGCUUGCAUGGAGUAAUAAGGUGGUUUUAGUUGAUAUUGGGAGUGUUGACUGUUUUGUGUAAUAUUGGAUGAUUCUUCUUGAGUUGUUUUUAUUUGAUUAGUUCAUUUUGGGGGCUUUUCUCUAUCUUUUUCACACAUGUGGAACACUAAAAUAGAAUUGAAUAUUUAAAGAGAUGUCCAUUCCUAAAGACUAUUGCUAGUAAUGAUGUUAUAGUUACCAAAUGUAUUGAUAACUUCUCUAUGCGUUUAAAUUCAUUGUUUUCUUAGGAACAUAGUUGAAAGUGAAUGAUUAAAGAUGAUUUGUUGGGAUUUGUAGGGGUUAUAACUGGUUUUUAAUGGGAAAUCAUCAUCUGCACAGACUUCUAUUGAAAUUCCUAAUAGUCAUGUCCAAAAAAACCCGAUAGAGUAUGCCGAUCUUCGUGACAUGUUGCAUGACAUGUUCCCCAUACAAGAUAUGGCAUUUGGGCCAAUGGAAGAAGUCCCUACUGUGCAACAACCCACAAAAUGUCCUGCAGAAGGUCCUAAUGAAGAUGCACUUCGGUUUAUGAAAUUGCUUGAAGAUGUUAAUCAACCUUGUUAUGAAGGUUGUAAGCAUUUUAGCAAAUUGUCAGCCAUUGUGCAUUUGUUCCACAUGAAGUGUCUUAAUGAUUAGACCAACAAAUCAUUUACCAUGUUGCUGCAAUUUUUUCUUGAUUUUCUUCCUUCAAAUGCUAAGUUGCUAAAAGAUUGUUAUGAGGCUAAGAAGAUUAUUAAAGAUUUGAGCUUGAGCUAUGAGAAGAUUCAUGCUUGUCCUAAAGAUUGUAUUUUAUAUUGGAAGGAGAAUGCUAAUCUUGAAGCUUGUCCAAAUUGUAACCUUUUAAGAUGUGAAAGUAAUGAGUCUAAAGGUUAACAAAGUACUAAUGCUUCCUCCAAGAAAAGAAAAAAGAAAGCUACAAAGAUCCGAUGGUGGUUCCCCUUAAAGCCAAGAUUGAAACGAUUAUUUAUGUCUCCUGAAACAGCGAAUCAUAUGAAGUGGCAUACCAAUGGUCGUGUGAAUGAUGAGUUAAUGAGGCAUCCUGCUAAUUAUGAAGCUUGGAAAUCAUUUGACUCUAAGUACAUAGAGUUCUUAUCCGAGCCUCAUAAUGUGAGGCUUGGAUUAGCAGCCGAUGGAUUCAACCCGUAUGGAAAUAUGAAUAAUACUUAUAGUACAUGGCCUGUCAUUUUGAUCCCAUACAAUCUCCCUCCAUGGAUAUGCAUGAAAAGGUCUUCUUUCAUGCUAUCAUUAUUGAUUUCUGGUCCAACCUCGCCUGGGAACGAUAUAGAUGUGUACUUACAACCCCUAGUAGAAGAAUUGAAGGAGUUAUGAGAUGUUGGAGUAGAAACGUUUGAUGUGUCUUCCAAAAAAUCAUUCCAAAUGCAUGCUGCAUUAUUGUGGACCAUAAGUAAUUUUCCUGCAUAUGGUGAUAUCUCGAGUUGAAGUACCAAAGGUGCUCUUGCAUGUCCCUCUUGUAACUAUGAUAGUUAGUCUUGUUGAUUAAGAUAUAGAAGGAAAUUUAGUUACAUUGAACAUAGACGAUUCUUGGAUAGUGAUCAUAAAUUCUGUAAGCAAAAAAAAAUCAUUUAAUGGGCAUGUUGAUACGAGAUCAGCUCCUAUUACAGUAUCCAGAGGGGAAAUCAUGUUAUAAAUGGAUGCUAUAGCUGAUCAUGUGUUUGGGAAGAAAAUAAUUAAUUUUCGCAAUAAAAGAAAAAGAGGGGAGAAAGCCUUAACUAUGUGGAAGAAGAGAAGUAUAUUUUUCACCUUACCUUAUUGGGAGGACUAUGUAUUGCGUCACAAUCUUGAUGCGAUGCAUAUUGAAAAGAAUGUAGUCAAUAAUAUAAUCGGCACAUUGUUGAACUUAGAUGGCAAGACAAAGGAUAACUUGAAGGCACGCCAAGACUUAAAGGAUAUGGGUAUAAGAAGUGAACUUCACUUGGAAAAGGUUGGGAAUGAUCAGACACGUAUGCCACAUGCCUACUACCAUAUGAAUGCUAGUGAACAAGAUAGUUCUUUGCAAGUUUUGAAAAAUGUAAGAGUGCCAGAUGGAUAUUCUUCAAACAUCUCACAUUGCGUUAAACUCAAAGAACUCAAGAUUAGAGGGAUGAAGAACCAUGAUAAUCACAUCUUAAUGCAGCAACUUUUUUUGAUAGCAAUACGUGGAUCUUUGCCCCCUGAGGUGAGUAGGCAUUUAAUUGACUUAUCUUGCUUAUUUAGGGAGAUAUGUUCCAAAGUACUAAAUGUGGAGGAACUUGGGGAUCUUGAGAAGAGAAUUGCAGUGACAUUGUGUGAGUUGGAAAGAAUAUUCCCUCCCUCUUUCUUUAUAGUGAUUGUACAUCUAGUCAUGCAUUUGGCUAGCAAAGACAAAGUUGCUGGUCUAGUUCAUAAUCGUUGGAUGUAUCCUAUAGAGAGGUAACACAUAUAGUAACUUGGUCUAUUUGGUUUUGUUUAACUUAUCAAUUUUCCGUUGUUGAUCUUGGGUUUUCCAAUAGGUACUUGUCAAGACUUAAGUCUUACAUGUAUAAUAAAACUUAUUCAGAAGGCUCCAUUGCAAAAAGGUAUAUAGCAGAGGAAUGCUUAGCAUUCUACUCACUCUAUUUUAAAUCUAUUGAAACUGCAUUCAAUUGGCUUGUAAGGAAUGUCGAGGAAUCCAUGGGUGUGGUGGUGAGCAUUACACUAGAUUCAAAUUCAUGGAUCCAAGAACUUCGUUAUGUGCUAUUCAAUUGUGAAGAAAUCAUCCCAUUUCUCGAUGUACACAUAACGGAGAUCAAGGUUGAUUUCUUUUUCAUGUAAUUUAUGAUGUUAUUCAAAAGCAGCACAUGGAGAAAUUCUGUAGCUGGUUUAGGGACUAUGUGAUGUCAAUCGAUGCCUUUGAGAAAAAGAAACUCUCUAAUAAAGUCAUAUGGCUUGCUCAAUAUCUAGAUAAUGAAGCAAAACAAUUCAAGCGUUAUGUUAUAAAUGGUUUGAAGUUUUGCACCAAAGAUUCUAAGGCAACUAGGAAAACUCAAAACAGUGGAGUUUGUGUUGUUACUGAAGGUGGUGCUACUUAUUAUGGUGUACUAAUCAACAUUAUUGAGUUGAACUACUCUGACAAUUAUCGAUAUGUACUAUUCAGAUGUCAAUGGGUUGACGUUAUUAGUGGGAGAUGAUGCAAAAAAGAUGAGUUUCGAUUUGCCCUUUUCAAUUUUUCACAAUUAAUACACACGGGUGAUCGAUUGAUUGACGAGCCUUAUGUAUUAGCAUCUCAAGCUUCACAAGUAUUUUACGUGAAAGAUCUGAUACAUAAAGAUUGGGUGGUUGUGGUCAAAACAAAACCUAAGGAGGUGUUUGAUGUUAGUAUUAAUGCUUCACAUGAUGAUGAUGAUGAAGUGGGUACCUAUCUUAAGAAUGUCCCUUAUAAUAUAACUAUUGAUGAUGCAUGUGAUGAUGCAAAUGACAACCAUGCUUGUGCUCGAGUUAAUGAAGAGGGAACCAUUUAUGAUACACCGUUGAUUAGUGAGGAUGAAUUGAACAAGACUUUAUCGAUGAUGAAGAGCUUAGCGAUGAUGAGUCCAAUGAUGAUGACUCCAAUGAUGAUGAGUCUAGUGAUGAUAAGUGUAGUUAAUACUUUUAUUAUCACUCAUUAUAUUUUUCCUUAAUGAUUAGAGUUUAAGAACCUCUCUUUGGUUAGUU